rnacentral:lncRNA from 1 species
GACCACAAACGUUUGAACAGUAGUGUAAACAAGAUAAGCUUCACUGUUUAAUAAAAAUUCUAUAUUUUAAACACAGGCCUAUUAGACCAGGACUGAGAGAAGAGCAAAAAACAUUUGAAGAUUUUGUUGAAGAACAUCUCAAAACAGACCUAGCUAUUCUCCAACACCAGCAUCAGGUAUGAGCAGCAUUCAGAAAGUAACUCACACAGUUAAAGUGUGUUCUAAACAAUGUCCUCUCUAUUUUACAGACUAAUACACAAACCGGGGAAGCAGAGAAGAAGAAUUUCCUUCGUAAAGGAGAAGGGGCAUCCAGAAUUUCAAAGGGUAAGGACUGCUCCCAAAGACUCCAGAGGAGACGCUCUGUUAGUCCACAAAUGCUGAACAUGAAGUUCAGGCAGCAGACGCUAUGUCUCACUGAAUUUCAUCAGAAGGAGAUGUCAAAUAGGAGCAGUCCUGGACUGAAGGGUGUAGGAAACCUCAGAGACCAAAAAUCGGGCCUGGAAAACUCUCAAAAGAAGACCGUUUUUCUACAAGAUGAUUAUUUAUCAUCAAACAAUAAAGAGCAAUUCAAAGCUUUGACUGCUGAUGACAAUGCAGUCUCACUUAAAAGUAAGCACAGUGUAGGAGUCGUGGGGAAAACCAAUGGAAGCAAGUCAAGUGGAUCUGCUCUGGCACAAAGUAGAAAAAGUGUUGGUUUUAAAAAAAUUAAUGACCACAUUGUUAAAAUUUCUGAGAAAAAUGCUCUAGCUACAAACUACAGCCAGAGUGGAUAUACAUCUAAAGAAGUCAGUCUAACUGACGAGGUGAUGGAGUCACUGGCUCUUAGCGAUUCCCGCGACAGCACUACCAGUGAGGACGGACCCAGCUCUCAGUCUCAGCGGCCGUUACUUCAUUACCUCUCAAGGCACAUAGACCACAAAGAUCAGAGUUUGGAUUUGUCAGACGGAGACUACGCUAGUGAUGCCCCGAGUGAGACUCGAUUCAAUGAAGGACAGUGCACUUCUACUCCUACGUCCAGCUCCUCAAGCUUCAGCAGCGAUUCUGAACUCAAGAGCUUACAGGGGUCUAUGGCUAACUACUUCAAAAAAACAGAAGAGAGGGGGACUGACAGUGACUUUAGACAACCUUCUGUUCCUGAACCCCUCACAAAGAUGUUCCCAAAAGACAAGGUUAAUCCAGAAGACACCACUCAUGGCAUGGCACUAGAGCAACCACGUACUCCAAUCAGGGAAGAGAUGGGAGAGCGUGGUUUUAAUGGUGAGAAUGGCUGCAGACCUUUGCUCUGGCUUAAGAAAGAACUUCACGAACCUCAGGUAGAAUCAACAACACAUUUUAGACUGAAUUCUUCUUCUUUUUCACAUCACGCCUGCAUAGUGUAUAGAAUCACCACUUUAUGGUUCCAAAAAGUUUAUUUUCACAGCAAUUCCAUGCAAGAAUGAUUUUUGGAACUGUUUCGCUGAACAGUUCUUAGAGUGAAGAACAUUUGAAUAAUCUAAAUAACUUUUUUACACUUUAAAACAC